rnacentral:lncRNA from 1 species
GAUCCAACUCUUUAACUGCUGAGCAGUCCCCAAAACACAAAAUGAAAUUGAAGGUAAAAGCUUGAAUAUUAGAUUGUGAAAUAGGAGGGAGAUCCUCGAGUGUUAAAUAAAAGAAGAGAAGGAUUACACAAAAUGAGCUACCAUUUUUUGCAUGCAAUGGCGCCGAAGAUCCUUAGUCUGUAACAGCUUGUAAUGAGCCUUUCUGAUUUUUCAAGAUUUGGAAAUAUUUGUCGACAGGAUUUGGAUUUCGAUGGUUACUGCCAGGAAGGGACCUCAGUUUGGCAAGCGACAAAA